rnacentral:rRNA from 1 species
UUACCCAAUCCGACACGGGGAGGUAGUGACAAUAAAUACUGAUACAGGGCUCUUUUUGGGUCUCUGUAAUUGGAAUGAGUACCAUUUAAAUCCCUUAACGAGGAACAAUUGGAGGGCAAAGUCUGGUGCCAGCAGCCGCGGUAAUUCCAGCUCCAAUAGCGUAUAUUAAAGUUGUCUGCAGUUAAAAAGCUCGUAGUCGAACCU